GGUAGGUGUUCUAAUCUACAACUCUUGCAAACCCUACCCAUUCCAAACGUACAUACGGCAGUAGACACCAUCAUCAAGGCCUCACUGCAUUUGAAAGAGUUCUUGUAUGUGGACUAAUUAAUCAGCUCGGAAUACGUGCCUUAAUCUUACCGAGCAAACCGAAGGUCGUUAGGUAUCUUGGAUUUGGGGAACUUGCUGUCUGGAGUAGAAGGAGUGGUCAUGGGUCGACUAGAAGGAUUUGUGUGAUUGGAUUAUUUAUACUAUACGAUGGUUUUUGAAACAGUUUAACAUUGGUUUACUAUUUGCU
rnacentral:lncRNA from 1 species